GAUGAACGCUGGCGGCGUGCCUAUACAUGCAAGUCGAGCGGUAAGGCCACUUCGGUGGUACACGAGCGGCGGACGGCUGAGUAACACGUAGGAACAUACCCCAAACUGAGGGAUAACUGCCCGAAAGGGUAGCUAAUACCGCAUGUGCUCUUCGGAGCAAAGCUACGGCGGUUUAGGAAUGGCCUGCGUCCGAUUAGCUAGUUGGUGAGGUAAUUGCUCACCAAGGCGACGAUCGGUAGCUGGUCUGAGAGGAUGAUCAGCCAGACUGGGACUGAGAACGGCCCAGACUCCUACGGGAGGCAGCAGUAGGGAAUUUUCCACAAUGGACGAAAGUCUGAUGGAGCAACGCCGCGUGCAGGAUGAAGGCUUUCGGGUCGUAAACUGCUUUUAUCUGUGAAGAUUAUGACGGUAGCAGAUGAAUAAGGAUCGGCUAACUCCGUGCCAGCCGCCGCGGUAA
rnacentral:rRNA from 1 species